rnacentral:rRNA from 1 species
ACGGAAGGCAGCAGUGGGGAAUAUUGCACAAUGGGGGAAACCCCGAUGCAGCAACGCCACGUGUGGGAAGAAGCAUUUCGGUGUGUAAACCACUGUCGUGAAGGAAUAAGGCUUAUUUUCGGAUAAGUUGAAUGUACUUUGAAAGGAAGCACCGGCAAACUUCGUGCCAGCAGCCGCGGUAAUACGAGGGGUGCAAGCGUUGUUCGGAAUCACUGGGCGUAAAGGGAGCGCAGGCGGAGAUGCAAGCAGUCUGUACAAUACCGGGGCCCAACCCCGGACCUGCAGACUGGACUGUUUCUCUUGGAUAGCUCAGGGGCUGGCGGAAUUCCUGGUGUAGCGGUGGAAUGCGUAGAGAUCAGGAAGAACACCGAUGGCGAAGGCAGCCAGCUGGGGGCUUAUCGACGCUCAUGCUCGAAAGUGCGGGUAGCAAACAGGAUUAGAUACCCUGGUA